GACGAACGCUGGCGGCGUGCUUAACACAUGCCAGUCGAACGGAAAGGCCCUGCUUUUGUGGGGUGCUCGAGUGGCGAACGGGUGCGUAACACGUGAGUAACCUGCCCUUGACUUUGGGAUAACUUCAGGAAACUGGGGCUACUACCGGAUAGGAGCUCCUGCUGCAUGGUGGGGGUUGGAAAGUUUCGGCGGUUGGGGAUGGACUCGCGGCUUAUCAGCUUGUUGGUGGGGUAGUGGCUUACCAAGGCUUUGACGGGUAGCCGGCCUGAGAGGGUGACCGGCCACAUUGGGACUGAGAUACGGCCCAGACUCCUACGGGAGGCAGCAGUGGGGAAUAUUGCACAAUGGGCGGAAGCCUGAUGCAGCAACGCCGCGUGCGGGAUGACGGCCUUCGGGUUGUAAACCGCUUUCGCCUGUGACGAAGCGUGAGUGACGGUAAUGGGUAAAGAAGCACCGGCUAACUACGUG
rnacentral:rRNA from 1 species